CAGAAUCACCAGUUGAGACGUUGCCAUUUGAGGACCAUUAUUUCAGGAAGACCAAUGAAACAACCACAGAAGUCAAACGUGUCCCUGAUCCCAGUGUAGUCUGCUGCAGGGAAAACAUUCUGGGUUGGAAUAAGAAGCAAUCACACAGCAGAAGGAGAGAUCACAAAUCCACCAAAUAAGCAAAUAUGGAAAGAACGUGAGACUGACAUUUGAAACCACCGAGCUGAAGCCAUGACCAUGACCUCUGACCUCUGUGUGGGGGAGGGAAAGGAACAGAAGGAUCUCUCUGCGGAGAUCAAUAAAGAAACAUAUCAUUACAACAAAGCUUUAGUCAGAUUCAAGCUCUGAUACACAAAAGAAAAAGGUGUCGUAACUGAAACAUCCGAGCAAUAAAACAAACCAAACCUAUUAAUCAUAACUCAGGUCACCAGUUGGUACUUUUCUUUAUACGGUAAUUUCACUUGAUUCUCUGACAGUCGUUGCAUUAUUGAACUGAGCUUAAUUGAACAUCAUCUGAAAAUGUAUGACAUUUC